GAGUUUGAUCUUGGCUCAGAACGAACGCUGGCGGCAGGCCUAACACAUGCAAGUCGAACGGGAUAGCAAUAUCCAGUGGCAGACGGGUGAGUAACACGUGGGAACCUUCCUAUUAGUAUGGAAUAGCCCGGGGAAACCCGGAUUAAUACCGUAUACGCCCUAAGGGGGAAAGAUUUAUCGCUAAUAGAUGGGCCCGCGUUAGAUUAGCUAGUUGGUGAGGUAAUGGCUCACCAAGGCUACGAUCUAUAGCUGGUUUGAGAGAAUGAUCAGCCACACUGGAACUGAGACACGGUCCAGACUCCUACGGGAGGCAGCAGUGGGGAAUAUUGGACAAUGGGCGCAAGCCUGAUCCAGCCAUGCCGCGUGAAUGAUGAAGGCC
rnacentral:rRNA from 1 species